rnacentral:rRNA from 1 species
GCAAGUGCCUAAAGACGAGCUCGCGCCUGAUUAGCUAGUUGGUGGGGUAAAGGCCUACCAAGGCGACGAUCAGUAGCUGGUUUGAGAGAAUGAUCAGCCACACUGGAACUGAGACACGGUCCAGACUCCUGCGGGAGGCAGCAGUGGGGAAUUUUCCGCAAUGGGCGCAAGCCUGACGGAGCAAUACCGCGUGAGGGAUUAAGGCCUGUGGGUUGUAAACCUCUUUUCUCAAGGAAGAAUCAAUGACGGUACUUGAGGAAUAAGCAUCGGCUAACUCCGUGCCAGCAGCCGCGGUAAUACGGGGGAUGCAAGCGUUAUCCGGAAUUAUUGGGCGUAAAGCGUCUGUAGGUUGUUUAAUAAGUCUGUUGUUAAAGACUGGGGCUUAACCCCAGGAAAGCAAUGGAAACUGUUAGGCUAGAGUAUGGUAGAGGUAGAGGGAAUUCCUAGUGUAGCGGUGAAAUGCGUAGAUAUUAGGAAGAACACCGGUGGCGAAAGCGCUCUGCUGGGCCAUAACUGACACUCAGAGACGAAAGCUAGGGUAGCAAAUGGGAUUAGAUACCCCAGUAGUCCUAGCCGUAAACGAUGGAUACUAGAUGUUGCGUAACUUGAUUAUGCAGUGUUUUAGCUAACGCGUUAAGUAUCCCGCCUGGGGAGUACACUCGCAAGGGUGAAACUCAAAGGAAUUGACGGGGGCCCGCACAAGCGGUGGAGCAUGUGGUUUAAUUUGAUGCAACGCGAAGAACCUUACCAAGGCUUGACAUGUCACGAAUCUCUUUGAGAAGAGAGAGUGCCUUCGGGAACGUGAACACAGGUGGUGCAUGGCUGUCGUCAGCUCGUGUCGUGAGAUGUUGGGUUAAGUCCCGCAACGAGCGCAACCCUUGUCUUUAGUUACCAUCAUUCAGUUGGGGACUCUAGAGAGACUGCCGGUGACAAACCGGAGGAAGGUGAGGACGACGUCAAGUCAGCAUGCCCCUUAUGCCUUGGGCUACACACGUGCUACAAUGGCUAAGACAAAGAGCAGCAAGCUUGUGAAAGUUAGCAAAUCUCAUAAACUU